UACGUAGGGGGCAAGCGUUGUCCGGAAUCAUUGGGCGUAAAGCGCGUGUAGGCGGCUCGGUAAGUCCGCUCUGAAAGUCCAGGGCUCAACCCUGGGGAUGCGGGUGGAUACUGCCGGGCUCGAGUCCGGAAGAGGCGAGUGGAAUUCCCGGUGUAGCGGUGAAAUGCGCAGAUAUCGGGAGGAACACCAAUGGCGAAGGCAGCUCGCUGGGACGUGACUGACGCUGAGACGCGAAAGCGUGGGGAGCAAACAGG
rnacentral:rRNA from 1 species